AAGUACUUUUGUAGCCAGCUGCUCUGUGGGAUUGUGCAUGCUACUUGUUUGCUGCCUUAGAUCCUGGGAUACCAGAGGUUGCUCGAGUAGUGAUGAAGGAUAUAAAGCUGCCGAUUUUUCUGAUGGUCCUCCCUAUCUGGAUAGGAGAGCAGCUGGUAACGGGUUUUCUUAAAGCAGGCUGUGUGCAUCGCCACUGCUCUUGCAGGUGAGGAGGGGUGAGCGUGUCAGGGGGACAGAGGAAGGAAAACGUCCAUCGGGGCUGUUCUCUGCUUGCUGUAAGGUGACAACAGGAAUCCUAAUGAGCCACCCCCAAAUGGUUAAUGCUUUCUAGGAGAUGUUCCCUGACUCACCUGAUGCUCAGGACCUCUAUGACUUCAGGUGAUUCCUUUAAAGUUAUUACAGGGAGUUAUCAAAACAACAGGGAUUUGGAAAUUGGCUCUGUUUAUUUAAGUAGUUUAAAGAGUUCAAUACCAGCUAGGGACUCAAAGUAGUCAAAAGCUUCCCUUUAAUCAAGUCACUAUGCUUGCAAGUUUUAAAAGGGAUUGGUAAGAGUAAAUUAUGUACUAUACUCCCUUCAAAAAAUGAAGCUAAUGGUUAAGAAGUGGGGAGAUGAUGUAUCCAGCUCAUCCCCGAGAGAGAAACGGGAGAAAAAUACAUUGGGAAUUGGAAGAAGCGUACAAAAGACUCACAGCAGUUACUGCUGGAAAACAUCUCAGCAAAACAGAUGGAACCUCAAGUCAAUCAGAUAAAUUAGAUCAGGUUGUGAAUAGAAAUGCUGAAAUUCCAAAAGCAGCACAGACUUUUCCUUGGAGGUGAUGAAACUGGCUUUCCAGUACAGUGCAGACCUUAAGCUUUCUUGUGUGGAUCGGAUGGCCCUACCCAGAAAAGAAAAAAUCCCACGGUCACAAGUGCGGAGAGUCAGAUGGAAAGAAGGAGGUAAGAGGCGAGAGCUGAGCACCAAAGCGAUGAUACCCAAGGGAUGGACAGAAACGCACUGGCUGCAAGCUCAGGAUGGGAUGUCCAGAUGGACUGCUGGCCUCGCUGGAAGCAGCAGCAAAGCUCUCAGUUGCUUCCCGAGGGUCAAGCUUUCUCACUGUUUGUCUGUGCUAUACCCCAAAAUGUCAACAAGUAUGAACAGUCAAAGAUCUGUGUAGUGCUAAAAAACUGUCUUUCUUAAACUAUUUUAUUUUGUUCAUGGACACAUGAGAUUUAGAAAGCUGAGCAAGGUUGCUGUGGUGAACUAACAAAGUAACUCUUGCUUUGCAAAUGUCUGAAAGGACAAGCCAACCAAAUUGCUUUGCAAGAAUGUUUGCUCUUGCAACUCUCUGUGGAAAACUGUUCCAUGCUUCAGUGCUUUGCACUGCUCAGAAACUUUCUGCUUUUCUGCCCGUGAGCCUCUGUUCAGGGCCAAUUUACACCUAGCUUUGUUGUGCCAAUGUUUAUUAUCCUCAUGAUGUAUUCAUAGCCAUGGCCCCAGCAGGCAUUUUUUUUUUCCAGCCUCUGAAGCCUAGCAAAAGUAAUUUUGUGCAUGUGUGGUUCUAAAGAAGUUCUUUGUUUAUUCUGGUGGCAAUGAAAGACAAACCAGAACUACAGAUCUUGAGGAGAUGUUGUUCCCUCUGGUCUCAUGAACAGCACAGGUGCAAGACAGAAUGAUGUGAAUGCUGCUGUUGUUCGCCCUGACUGCAGGCAGCAAUCAGCUCUUGGCGUUCCUGCUCACCUGGUGGGACAACCUCCCCUGAAUGCUCUCCUCUGAGUUCUGUCUUCUCCCUCACAUCAGGUCUUCAGCCUCGUGCCUUCCUUCUGGGCAAGGGAGCAUGAAAUCAGUUUGCUUUCAAAGAGUUCUGCUGCUUUAACACUCCCUAUAGCAAGAUUGUGAGCCUGACUUCAUCGCUAUCUGCUCAGUCACAAAACCAGCUCUGCUCAACUCAGGGCUGAGCAAUGCCUCCCUAACAUGAUUGCUUUUUCCCCACAGGCCCUGGGAGAUUCUUGCGAGCUCUAAUAAGUGAGACAUUAAUGCUAGCUCCUGGCCUAGGAGAGGCUAUCAGGCAAUUUUCUUUGUGUCAGCACUGCUUACUGUACUGAGGGCAGGAGCAGUGUGCCACUCUCCUUCCUGCAAGCUGUGGUUACCAGGGACACAAAGCAGCUCUGACCAGCCAGCAGUGCGAGUCUCCCUGACCCAGGAGCACGCCGACAGGCUGGCACAGCUCCUGACAGCGGCUGGCACAGCUCCUGACAGCUGCUGCCCCAGCAGUGCCUGGCCCGGCCUCUGGGUGCUCGAGGCACACACUUCAGGAGGAAAACGCAGCAGCAGAGUCCCUUGCCACUCUCACCCUUGUCCAGACAGCUCCAGGUACAUCCUGACACAGUGCUUGAACAUGACGCAUGAGCUGCUCCAUCACAGAGACAAGAUGGCACAGAAUUCCUGACUUGGUAAAACCAUGCACUCUCAGUGAGUGCAUUUCACUGCUAACAUAUUGAAGGUACCACCAGUCCUCCAGAACAAACUGCCCCAGGCUUACCUGAAAAUUGCACUAAGUGAUUUUUCUGAUGAUUUCUUUGGCAGUUGAGGCAAAAGGUAAACAAACAAGCUACAAGCACUGUAGAUUAGGCUCUUGUCAUUCCGUGUUUAGUAUUUGCUCAGUAAGCAGUUCAGUGGAACACUCUAGAUAACCCUACACUCUAGGCCUGCCAAAGUAUCCCCCAGAAACUAUUCCCAAAAUGUUAAACUAGAGUCUGUCAUCACUAAAAGAAAUUGUUUCCAGUAUAGCAGAAAUUGGUUUACAGAUGAACCAUUUUAAAUAGAGGAUUACUACAUACACAACUAUCCUAUCAAUGUUUUUCUAUUUACUUCUAUCAUGCUUUUGAAUACCUUUGUUUAAAAAAUAAACUAAACAGAAUGACCGUCUAAUUACCCAUACAUUUGAGUUACCACUUUCCACUAGAUUUGACUGCAAGAUGGAUUUCUUCUCAAACGAUGAGCUGCGCUUUUGGGAGCUCAGCUCUCUUUUGGGUGGCUCUUCUCUCACUUGCCUUGUGCUUACUUCUCCUCUUUUCCUACUGAUGUUUUUGGAAUGCUGGCAUGAGUGAACAGGGGCUCUCUGCACCGCUGCUGUCAGGAUGAAGGCUUUCUUCUGGGACAGCAAUGACACCCUGCUGGUGCUGUCUGUGAUGUCCUCUUCCUGAAGUAUUUCUAAUGAUUAUUCUAAAUGGCAUUGUUUAAAUCACUCCCUAGGUAGCAAUGCCCAGAUGUUUGUUUCUUCCAUUAAAGAGAUUUCCAGAAGUUGCAAUUUCAAUAUGCAUGCAGCCUGUGAAUACACCAACAGAACUUUUAUAGUGCUUGUGUUCGUGUAACAUGUUACUAUUAACGCACUUCGGUUUCAGAAUUUUGUUAUAUUUCUCCUAAAAUUAUUCUUCGUUAAGAAUUCUACCUUCUAAAAAAGUGCACAGAGAUGUUCAACUAUCUGGGUGCUCAUAUUAUGGUGCUAUAAACAUAUAUUAAAGAACUCGGAUGACCAAAUAUCCUCACUGCCUGAAAUUGGAUUUUCUCAUCUCGUGUCACAUUGCAGACCAAGAUCCAGUUGGCAAAUCUGCAUUACAGAAGUAAUAGUAAACCUUUAAGGGAAAGUAAUUGCCAGGAGCAUCUGUAGCAGUUUGCUGUUUAGUCACAUUGCUGAAGGACAUUA